UCUACUAGUUGUCGGGUUUUAAUUAACUUGGUAACGCAGCUAACGCGUGAAGUAGACCGCCUGGGGAGUACGGUCGCAAGAUUAAAACUCAAAGGAAUUGACGGGGACCCGCACAAGCGGUGGAUGAUGUGGAUUAAUUCGAUGCAACGCGAAAAACCUUACCUACCCUUGACAUGUACGGAAGACCGAAGAGAUUUGGUUGUGCUCGAAAGAGAAUCGUAACACAGGUGCUGCAUGGCUGUCGUCAGCUCGUGUCGUGAGAUGUUGGGUUAAGUCCCGCAACGAGCGCAACCCUUGUCAUUAGUUGCUACGAAAGGGCACUCUAAUGAGACUGCCGGUGACAAACCGGAGGAAGGUGGGGAUGACGUCAAGUCCUCAUGGCCCUUAUGGGUAGGGCUUCACACGUCAUACAAUGGUACAUACAGAGCGCCGCCAACCCGCGAGGGGGAGCUAAUCGCAGAAAGUGUAUCGUAGUCCGGAUCGCAGUCUGCAACUCGACUGCGUGAAGUUGGAAUCGCUAGUAAUCGCGGAUCAGCAUGUCGCGGUGAAUACGUUCCCGGGUCUUGUACACACCGCCCGUCACACCAUGGGAGCGGGUUUUACCAGAAGUAGGUAGCUUAACCGCAAGGAGGGCGCUUACCACGGUAGGA
rnacentral:rRNA from 1 species